UUCAGCAGAUAAGGAAGGCUAAUGGAUAUAAAUCGCUGGUCAUGAUUGGAGAUGGUGCAACUGAUCUUGAGGCUCGCAAACCAGGAGGUGCCGACUUAUUUAUAUGCUAUGCUGGGGUUCAGCUUCGAGAAACUGUUGCAGCUAAAGCUGAUUGGCUGGUGUUCAAUUUUAAGGACUUGAUUGAUAGCUUGGAGUAGCAUGCACCCAUUUUUCUUGAUUGAUACCUUUUUUCUGUUUCCUUUUGGGUGGUGGUUCUCUUUCUUUACCUUUACUAUUAUUGAUUUUUUGGGGGUACUAGAGUUCUAUGGGUUAUAACUACCAUGCUUCCAAAAAUCUUCUGCAUCAGUAUAUGUAUUCUUUGACAAACAUUUUAUGUAUGUAAUUUGUGAAAAUGACAGUCCUCAGGCACUUGCCCUCAAUAAGCAACUUGAAAGCCUUGUUGAUGUCAUCAAGUUUGACCUCAUGAGUGACAAACAAAUCCAGCUGAAGUUCACGGAUGUGUGUUCAAAGAUUUAAGCAAAA